UACGGAGGGGGCUAGCGUUGUUCGGAAUUACUGGGCGUAAAGCGCGCGUAGGCGGCUUUGUAAGUCAGAGGUGAAAUCCCGGGGCUCAACUCCGGAACUGCCUUUGAAACUGCAUCGCUUGAAUCCGGGAGAGGUGAGUGGAAUUCCAGGUGUAGCGGUGAAAUGCGUAGAUAUCGGGAGGAACACCAGUGGCGAAGGCGGCUUUCUGGCCUGUUCUUGACGCUGAGGCGCGAAAGCCAGGGGAGCAAACGGG
rnacentral:rRNA from 1 species